rnacentral:rRNA from 1 species
GGAUGCGAUCAUACCAGCACUAAAGCACCGGAUCCCAUCAGAACUCCAAAGUUAAGCGUGCUUGGGCGAGAGUAGUACUAGGAUGGGUGACCUCCUGGAAAGUCCUCGUGUUGUGUCAC